CAUCACAGUAAGGUAAAGGAUGUUGACUUAAAACAAAGGCCAGGCAAACAAUACCACAGGGUUAAAACCAGCUAGCAAGUAUUUGUACCAUCCAUUUCCCUAAAUUACCACCUACCAAACAUCCAGGGAGUUGAGGCUGGGAGUCAACUCUCUCUAUCCUCCCUGCCUCCAUCUCUAUCACAGCAGAAGGGGUCCAGUAAAGGUUCACUCACAAGAAGAUGCUAGGACCUUAGAGUAUAUGCAGCAAGUGAUAUUUACCUUUUCUUUGGGCUUCUCAGAACAGCAACCAGAAAGUACAGUGGAGAUUGAUGCUGCCUCUUCUCAUAUACAGUAGCAACAUAUUUUUGGAGCUGAAGACCUCUCACUCCGCUUCCACUUUUGCUGCCCCUAUUCUGCCAUGAGUUUAGCUGCAGCUGAAGGAAGCCUUCUUGAUUCUGCAUCCAUCUUUUCCUUGGCUCUAGUUUCUGAUCUUGUACCUGAAACUACUUCUGGUCUCUUUUACAAGACUCAUCCCACCUCCACUGAUGACCAAAGAUGCUUCUCUCCUAUCAGAAUUCACACGGUUUGGUUGACACCAUCAUGCCAACAGCUAAAUAUCCCAGGAUUUAUGGACAAAUUGAAAAGGAGAUGGAAACAUGUCCACUAAUGACAGAGGAGAUCUUUGCUGCCCCCAUUACACGGGACAAAUGGAUCAGAGGGUUACAAAACAAAGUGUUUUGUGAGGGGUCCAAAAUGUGGAAGAGGAACAAGAGAAUGAGGACACAGAAAAGGAGAAGGAGGCUAAAGAUGAAGAAGAGGAGGUGGAAGAAGAUAAAGAGGAGCAGGAAAAGGAGGAAAAGAAAAAGGAAGAGGAGGAGGAAGAGAGAGAAAGUAGAGCAAAAUGAGGAGGAAGAAGAGGAAAAGGAAGAAGAGGAAGAAGAGGGGGGAGAAGAAGAACAAGAUGAGGAAGAGGAGGAGGAAGAGGAAAAAGAGGAGGAAGGUGAAGAGGAGGAGGAAGAGGAAGAGGAGGAAGAGGAGGAAGCAGAAAAAGAGAAAGGGAGAAAUAUCCAGCAGAAAGAAGAGUCAGCUUUUUUUUUCCCAAAACUUAUCAGCAAGGAUGACUUAACCCAUCCAUCGAGUUGGAUAUCUACCCUACUUUAAAAAGUGCUUCAAUAAAAGGAAAUCUCACAAUAUAUACUGGUG
rnacentral:lncRNA from 1 species